AUGGAAGAAGAAAUUGAUGAAACUAUGAGCUCAUUGGAUGAAAAAGAUGAUGAGGAGAGCGAAGAACAAAAGGAGGAAGAGCGGAUUAGCUACCCGUGCCCACCUUCUAAUGAGAGUAACUCUUCAACUCAUACAUUGUUUAAUUUCCCUUCGUGCUUACCGAAGGAUGAUUGCUAUGAUGACUGUUAUGAUCCCGUUGAUUCUCUUGAAAUAUCCCUUUUUGGUGAUGCUUACUAUGCUUGUGGCCAAUAUGCCAAUAUGAAUUAUGCUUAUGGAGAUGAACUUGCUAUAGUUCCUUAUGUUAAACAUGAAAUUGUUGCUAUUGCACCCACGCAUGAUAGUCCUAUUAUCUUUUUGGAUUCUCCCGACUACACUAUAUCGGAGAAGUUUGUGCUUAUUAAGGAUUAUAUUGAUGGGUUACCUUUUACCGUUGCACAUGAUGAUUUUGAUGAGUAUAAUAUGCAUGUGCUUGCUGCUCCUACUUGCAAUUAUUAUGAGAGAUGA
rnacentral:rRNA from 1 species